rnacentral:rRNA from 1 species
AGUGAACGCUGGCGGUAGGCCUAACACAUGCAAGUCGAACGGCAGCACAGUAAGAGCUUGCUCUUACGGGUGGCGAGUGGCGGACGGGUGAGGAAUACAUCGGAAUCUACUUUUUCGUGGGGGAUAACGUAGGGAAACUUACGCUAAUACCGCAUACGACCUACGGGUGAAAGCAGGGGAUCUUCGGACCUUGCGCGAUUGAAUGAGCCGAUGUCGGAUUAGCUGGUUGGCGGGGUAAAGGCCCACCAAGGCGAGGAUCCGUAGCUGGUCUGAGAGGAUGGUCAGCCACACUGGAACUGAGACACGGUCCAGACUCCUACGGGAGGCAGCAGUGGGGAAUAUUGGACAAUGGGCGCAAGCCUGAUCCAGCCAUACCGCGUGGGUGAAGAAGGCCUUCGGGUUGUAAAGCCCUUUUGUUGGGAAAGAAAAGCAGCAGGUUAAUACCCCGCUGUUCUGACGGUACCCAAAGAAUAAGCACCGGCUAACUUCGUG